rnacentral:rRNA from 1 species
UACGGAGGGUGCAAGCGUUAUCCGGAUUCACUGGGUUUAAAGGGUGCGUAGGCGGACUAGUAAGUCUGUUGUGAAAUCUCCGGGCUUAACCCGGAAAUUGCGGUGGAUACUAUUAGUCUUGAAUACUGUGGAGGUUAGCGGAAUAUGUCAUGUAGCGGUGAAAUGCAUAGAUAUGACAUAGAACACCAAUUGCGAAGGCAGCUGGCUACACAGAUAUUGACGCUGAGGCACGAAAGCGUGGGGAUCAAACAGG